UGGGGAAUCUUGCGCAAUGGGCGAAAGCCUGACGCAGCAACGCCGCGUGCGGGAUGACGGCCUUCGGGUUGUAAACCGCUUUCAGCAGGGACGCGGUACCUGCAGAAGAAGCCCCGGCUAACUACGUGCCAGCAGCCGCGGUAAUACGUAGGGGGCAAGCGUUGUCCGGAAUCAUUGGGCGUAAAGAGCUCGUAGGCGGUUCAGUAAGUCGGGUGUGAAAGCUCCGAGCUCAACUCGGAGAGGCCACUCGAUACUGCUGGACUAGAAUCCAGUAGGGGAGUGUGGAAUUCCUGGUGUAGCGGUGAAAUGCGCAGAUAUCAGGAGGAACACCGGCGGCGAAGGCGGCACUCUGGGCUGGUAUUGACGCUGAGGAGCGAAAGUGUGGGUAGCAAACAGGAUUAGAUACCCUGGUAGU
rnacentral:rRNA from 1 species